rnacentral:rRNA from 1 species
AUACAUGCAAGUCGAGCGAACGGACGAGAAGCUUGCUUCUCUGAUGUUAGCGGCGGACGGGUGAGUAACACGUGGAUAACCUACCUAUAAGACUGGGAUAACUUCGGGAAACCGGAGCUAAUACCGGAUAAUAUUUUGAACCGCAUGGUUCAAAAGUGAAAGACGGUCUUGCUGUCACUUAUAGAUGGAUCCGCGCUGCAUUAGCUAGUUGGUAAGGUAACGGCUUACCAAGGCAACGAUGCAUAGCCGACCUGAGAGGGUGAUCGGCCACACUGGAACUGAGACACGGUCCAGACUCCUACGGGAGGCAGCAGUAGGGAAUCUUCCGCAAUGGGCGAAAGCCUGACGGAGCAACGCCGCGUGAGUGAUGAAGGUCUUCGGAUCGUAAAACUCUGUUAUUAGGGAAGAACAUAUGUGUAAGUAACUGUGCACAUCUUGACGGUACCUAAUCAGAAAGCCACGGCUAACUACGUGCCAGCAGCCGCGGUAAUACGUAGGUGGCAAGCGUUAUCCGGAAUUAUUGGGCGUAAAGCGCGCGUAGGCGGUUUUUUAAGUCUGAUGUGAAAGCCCACGGCUCAACCGUGGAGGGUCAUUGGAAACUGGAAAACUUGAGUGCAGAAGAGGAAAGUGGAAUUCCAUGUGUAGCGGUGAAAUGCGCAGAGAUAUGGAGGAACACCAGUGGCGAAGGCGACUUUCUGGUCUGUAACUGACGCUGAUGUGCGAAAGCGUGGGGAUCAAACAGGAUUAGAUACCCUGGUAGUCCACGCCGUAAACGAUGAGUGCUAAGUGUUAGGGGGUUUCCGCCCCUUAGUGCUGCAGCUAACGCAUUAAGCACUCCGCCUGGGGAGUACGACCGCAAGGUUGAAACUCAAAGGAAUUGACGGGGACCCGCACAAGCGGUGGAGCAUGUGGUUUAAUUCGAAGCAACGCGAAGAACCUUACCAAAUCUUGACAUCCUUUGACAACUCUAGAGAUAGAGCCUUCCCCUUCGGGGGACAAAGUGACAGGUGGUGCAUGGUUGUCGUCAGCUCGUGUCGUGAGAUGUUGGGUUAAGUCCCGCAACGAGCGCAACCCUUAAGCUUAGUUGCCAUCAUUAAGUUGGGCACUCUAAGUUGACUGCCGGUGACAAACCGGAGGAAGGUGGGGAUGACGUCAAAUCAUCAUGCCCCUUAUGAUUUGGGCUACACACGUGCUACAAUGGACAAUACAAAGGGCAGCGAAACCGCGAGGUCAAGCAAAUCCCAUAAAGUUGUUCUCAGUUCGGAUUGUAGUCUGCAACUCGACUACAUGAAGCUGGAAUCGCUAGUAAUCGUAGAUCAGCAUGCUACGGUGAAUACGUUCCCGGGUCUUGUACACACCGCCCGUCACACCACGAGAGUUUGUAACACCCGAAGCCGGUGGAGUAACCUUUUAGGAGCUAGCCGUCGAAGGUG